rnacentral:tRNA from 1 species
UGGGCUGUAUGGUUCGAUUUUCUCCUUUAAAAGGAGAUUGUCACUGGUUCGAUCCCAGUAUCGCCCAU